CACCCUCCCCCACGUUCUUUUUUUCUCAGCCGCCGCCGCCGCCUCUCCUCCUCCCUCCGCCCGUGCGUCGUGUCCCCAAGACAACAGAGCGUGGCGGCGGCGGUAGAAGCAGCACACGUUGGUCGCGGCGGUAGAAGCAGCACACGUUGGUCGCGGCGGUAGAAGCAGCACACGUUGGUCGCGGCGGUGGUGCGUCCCUCCACGGCGUGUCCCUCCCCCGCUGCCGGCGCCGUCACAUCCCUAUCUCCAUCGUUCCGCUCCAAUUGCUAGCGCUGCUGCCCCGGACCAGACGCCAUCGCCUGCAUCGUUCGCCGUCUGCCCGAUUUGCCAUAGUAGCUGCCCUCCUCCCCGUCCAUCUGCAACCAUGGAUCUCUAUGUGCGGCGGCAGCUCCAAUUGGCGGGAGUGGCGAUGGCCCGAAGAUGACCCAGCGGCGGCAUCUCCUUUAUGCGACAGCAGCACCCCUCUGCACCGGCGACCUCGCCUGGAGCAGCCGGCCGGUGAUGACGUCAGGUCCAGGGGAAAGCCGUGGAGAGACCCCGACCAGGUCUGUGGCAUCGCGGCGGCAGUUGUGCUUGGCGCUUGAGGUUCCCUACCAAUCCCAAUCUGUGCCUAAUCUUGAGGUGAGUAUUCGUUCAAAUCCACGCAUCCCCUUCAGGGUUGGCAUUCGUUCUUUAUGUUUUGGUCCUCCAAAUUUCGGAUUGAUCCAUGGACAAGGAACGGGAAGUUCCAGUUGUUUCUUUGGUGUGAAUGUAGAUUCCAUUGAUAUGAGUGAUUUACUUAUCUUGCUAUUAGAUUAGCCCAAAAUUUCCCCAAUAUCCACACUACAUUGUUUCCCCAACGCCUGCCUGCCAUCCGUCCUGUGAUUGCCACAUGUGAUGCUGGAGAUUUUUGCAAUUAGGUUCCUGCUUCACUCUGCAUCACUGGCCAGAUGUUUUUGUUGUGUUGUGAAUCACUGUUUUGACAGAUCAUUUAUAUGGUGGCAUAGUAUAUACUAAAAAACAAUGCUCAUCAUUCUGGUUACCACAUAUUUUUGGCAACGAGCUCUCUUUCUCUGAACAGAACCUAAUCUAUCUCAUUCUGUUUAUUUCAUCAAAUUCAGUUACUGAUGGGUUUGCUUGGAGUAGAGAAUUAUUCUGACAGAUUUCAAUGUAUCAUGAAACCUUUGUAAAUUUUCAUAUCAUCUACUGUUAGUUCAUUUCAUGAGAAUUAUUCUGACAGAUUUCAGGUGUUGGGCAAAUAAAAGGGAUAUGCCUAGCACUAUCACAUCAAAUUCUGCUACACAUUCGACACCAAGCAAUAUUUUGAAGCAGUGCUACCAAAUGUAUCAGAAUUCACAACUGUAGCUGUUCUUACUUUUGUGGUAUCAUUAUCCUGUGGCAUGCAAAUUAAGGAUUAGGCUGAAUUUCCUUUCUUUUCGAUCUCCAACUUUUGGACCCUCCUUUACAUUUUUGAAAUUUUACUUAUUCCUUUAGGUUUUAUUAUUCAAGGAUGGGUGCAAGCUUCUUCACUAACAAGGUUGUGUUUGAUUCACUGGCACAAAUGGAAAUCUUAAUAUUAUAACAGAAAUAGCAAAACUUGUUCCUGCAGUGUGAUACAGUGUGAAGGUACUUUGCCACGUUCCUCCUUUUAUGUAAGAUGGAUAUUAGCAUGAAAAGGUAUGGCUGUUGACAUGAGCUCUGAUAUUUAGAGGUAAUGUCACAUUGUAAGAUUUAUUAUCAGGUGAUUUCAUCAUUUAUUUUAAGUAAUAGGAGAAGAAUUAUGCUUUACUUUCUAAUAGAUCCAUCUACUGAAGGGUCAAAUUCUAAUUGAGUGAUAUAAGUUUGAGAGAGAUUUUUCAAGUUCAUCACAAGUGUCACUAUUUUUAGCCAAUGAAACUAUUUUUAUUGGUUCAAAUAUUCAUGCAUGUUACGUUUACUUACAAGAAAUGAAAUUCCCAACGGUACUGCAUUCACAAAUAGUGGAUUUAACAAGCUAAUUGCUGUAGGAUGCAUUCUGUUUUCUUUAGAAAUUAUGAUUCUUCUUGAUAAUACCAUUUGUAUAUAUCAUUCUAUUAUUAAUGGCAGAACCAUUGAUAUGCUUUACUAAAUCUCGUAAUUUGCCGGCUUUGGUUUGUUCAGGAAUAAAACAGCACUUUGCGUAUUUUCCUGAAUGUCUCCAGUGGCUUCAAGUUGAUGGAGAUGCAAGGAGAUCUGGCCAUAGGUCAUAGCUGCUUCCAUUUACACAAGGACAGGGCAUGCUGGAAGUAAUGGCCUUCAUGGUUAUCCCUUCAGUGGCUUCAUUCGGUUAUGGAAUACAUUAUGCAGGCACCAUUAACCAUUUUGCUGUCGGCUGCAUUCCCUCUCCCUCAACUGAGACAUCUCCUGGGUCUCCAUUCAGUGAAAUUGCUUGGACAAAGGUGCAUGCAUACCAUCAAAAGUUUAAUAGUUUUCAGAAAGCAGAUGUGUCCCCCUAGAGGGUGUGGGCAUCUGGCAGCUGAGCAUUAUUGUGAUUGAGAUGUUUCACGGGGGCUGAAGGCUAAAAAUAGGCUCCAGAAAAGAAAAAAAAAACUUAGAAAGUUAGGUCCAUAGGUGAUUCUGUAGGAGGAUUUUGUUACUUGCAUACUUUAAUACAUCAAUUCUAGAAGUAUCUCUCCUGUUACUUAGGUUGCCUAAGUACUUUUAAGUAUUAGUGUGUAAUCUCUAUUCCUAUUUAUUGGUAAUUGACAUAUUAGACAGUUUUAAUUUCUUCAUGUAAUCUGGGUAUAUGGAAUCUGACUGGUUGAUGUUAAACAGUUUUUUUUGUGUGUUUCUCUAUAUCUAAUUAGUAUAUUUAGCUAAGGCAUGCCCAGUAUUUUAGAUAAAGAGGUAUGUAUGACUAUGUUUUUUACAAUAUCGGGCACUUUGAAUU